rnacentral:lncRNA from 1 species
ACAAGUCGGUGGGUGGCGGUUUCUCAUGUGGGACUGCAUUCUCUUCAAUGUCUCAGGACAGCACACCAUCAUCUCUCACCAUGGUAUGUGUAUUUACAUCUGAAGCACAAGAACAAAUUUCUUAAAAAGAAAGAACAAGAAUAAAGCUGUGUUUUGAGUAAUCAAAUGGAUACCUGCGAAUUUUUUGCAACUUAGCACCAGUCGUGAAGCUACGUGAUGCCAUCAACGAAUGGCAAUAAGUGUGAAUACUUCUCCGUCCUGCCUCCUUGGUUGAUGGUCACCAAUUUGUUCCGUCACUCGCAGGAAG